rnacentral:rRNA from 1 species
GGAGGAUCCAAGCGUUAUCCGGAAUCAUUGGGUUUAAAGGGUCCGUAGGCGGUUUGGUAAGUCAGUGGUGAAAGCCCAUCGCUCAACGGUGGAACGGCCAUUGAUACUGCCAGACUUGAAUUACUGGGAAGUAACUAGAAUAUGUAGUGUAGCGGUGAAAUGCUUAGAGAUUACAUGGAAUACCAAUUGCGAAGGCAGGUUACUACCAGUGGAUUGACGCUGAUGGACGAAAGCGUGGGUAGCGAAC